GAUGAACGCUAGCGAUAGGCCUAACACAUGCAAGUCGAGGGGCAUCACAUGAGGCAGCAAUGCCGAUGGUGGCGACCGGCGCACGGGUGAGUAACACGUAUGCAACCUGCCUUCAACAAGGGGAUAACCCGUUGAAAAACGGACUAAUACCCUAUAAUACAGGGGUCCCGCAUGGGGAUAUUUGUUAAAGAUUGAUCGGUUGAAGAUGGGCAUGCGUUCCAUUAGCUGGUUGGUGAGGUAACGGCUCACCAAGGCAACGAUGGAUAGGGGAACUGAGAGGUUUAUCCCCCACACUGGUACUGAGACACGGACCAGACUCCUACGGGAGGCAGCAGUGAGGAAUAUUGGUCAAUGGACGCAAGUCUGAACCAGCCACGUCGCGUGAAGGAAGACGGCCCUACGGGUUGUAAACUUCUUUUGUAAGGGAAUAAAGUGUAGUACGCGUACUAUUUUGCAUGUACCUUACGAAUAAGGAUCGGCUAACUCCGUGCCAGCAGCCG
rnacentral:rRNA from 1 species